UACAGAGGGUGCAAGCGUUGUUCGGACUUAUUGGGCGUAAAGCGCGUGUAGGCGGCUUUGCAAGUCGGGUGUGAAAGCCCUCAGCUCAACUGAGGAAGUGCGCCCGAAACUGCAGAGCUUGAGUGCCGGAGAGGGUGGCGGAAUUCCCCAAGUAGAGGUGAAAUUCGUAGAUAUGGGGAGGAACACCGGUGGCGAAGGCGGCCACCUGGACGGCAACUGACGCUGAGACGCGAAAGCGUGGGGAGCAAACAGG
rnacentral:rRNA from 1 species